GCGUUCUCCUAGCAACCCUACCCCCGCCCCCUCCGCCCCAGCCCUUCCGGCCCGGCUUCUGCGCAGGAGGAUUCGUCCUGCGCAAGCGCGCAUCGUGGGCAGAGUUUUUGAGUGGAGUGGUUCAUAUGCUUGUGACCUCCGCUUUUUGUCCCUUCACCUUGAAGAGUUUCUCCUUGACGCCAGGGCUUCAGUUCUUUACCUUUAAGAUCCCCUGCAGUGGGUUCCAGAAGCAAUGGGAGGUGUUGGCAAUUGCUCUUGAGGAUCAACAGACCCUGCAAGACAAUUAACUCAAGGAGGCCAUUACAGAUUUUACAGGAGAGCUGGACAUGAAGUGGGGGUGAACAGGGACAAAACGGCACCCACAAAGAUUCCCUGAAGAUAAACUAAGCUGUGCAUCUGUCUCUUGGCACCUCCAGCAUUGAUGGUUCAGGUACUUAUAGGAGCCAUGGUGCUGUGCAAGCAUCUGGCCCAGGACUCAGAGAAACUGAAGAAGAAGGUCCAGGAGUUGUGAAAGAGCUCCACACCUGGCCACGGCCCCACUCCAGGGUGAGCCAGCAGAUCAACAACAAUGUGUAUGAGCUGCCAUAGCACCUCAUGUCCUAUACUGACCUUCAGAAUGUAAUGACUGCUGCUUCACUUCUGCCUUUGAAUCUUGCACAAAUUUCCCGCGUGGCCCAUCCUAACCCAGAACCAUAUUUGGGGAAUAAACAGAAUUUAAGAUGCUAGAGAGACAGGAAAUUCAAGUGGAACUUUCCAUCUGGCAUUUGUAAACUGGGAUCUAGAGGUCAAGUUUGCAUUUAGAUUUGAGGAUCAUCCCUUUCGUGGGGAUGCACAAGAAAACCCUUAAAUAAUUCCUAGCACCA